rnacentral:rRNA from 1 species
GACGAACGCUGGCGGCGUGCUUAACACAUGCAAGUCGAACGGAAAGGCCUGCUUUCCCUUGUGGAUUGCGGGUACUCGAGUGGCGAACGGGUGAGUAACACGUGAGUGAUCUGCCCCCAACUUGGGUAUAAGCCUGGGAAACUGGGUCUAAUUCCCGAUAGGACUGCAGGGUGGUGCCUGUGGUGGAAAACGAUUUUCUAGUGGUUGGGGAUGAGCUCGCGGCCUAUCAGCUUGUUGGUGGGGUAAUGGCCUACCAAGGCGGCGACGGGUAGCCGGCCUGGGAGGUGGGCCGGCCACUUUGGGCUGGGGUUCCGCCCCAGACUCUUACGGAGGCAGCAGUGGGGAAUAUUGCACAAUGGGCGGAAGCCUGAUGCAGCGACGCCGCGUGGGGGAUGACGGCCUUCGGGUUGUAAACUCCUUUCGACCGCGAGGAAGCCACCUGGUUGGAAGGGUGGUGACGGUAGUGGUAGAAGAAGCACCGGCUAACUACGUG